rnacentral:lncRNA from 1 species
UUUAAUAACUCAAUACUUUUUUUCUUUGCAAUGUUGCAGAAGAUGGGCAAGAUGCUGGGCCCCUUAUCUAGAUUAAAAGAUGUGAUAGUCGGCGGGCACCGACGGGGUUCCGUUAUCAGAGGCAGCACCUCGUCAGAACAUUAAGAUAAUGAAGGAAACAGAGGCUACCUCAUCUGAACACUAGGAUAAUGACGAAAACAGGGUGAGAAAUGUAUAAUUGUGAUUUGGUUAUGUUACUAGAGGCAUCACCACAUCAGAACAUUAAGACAACGACAAAGAGAGAUGUCGGGUUGUGAUUUGCUAGGUUUUAUUGAGUGGACCUGACCUAUUUCUCUUACGACAAUGUUACACUACUUGUUAAUAUUUGCUUGCUUGUUAUGCAGCAAUUGCUUUUAGUUGUGGUUUCUUAUGUGCAUUGUACUUGUUAACAUUUUAGCAUUAUGAAAUUGGUUUUAGCUUUCGCUGAAUCAGUGCCAUGUUGUGGUGUAAGUAACUGAAACCUUGUUACUAGGAUCUAAUAUGAAUUGUGAAACUAGUUUCUGGCGUCAUCCUACCUUUCAGCUUCUUUGGAUAUAUAAUGCCUAGUUGAUAAUGUUGGAAGUCAGCAUCGGCAUGAAGCCAUCUGUUUGUCCUGGUGAAUGGAGAUUUCGAGAGUCUGAAUAGACUUGGUUUUUGCAUAUCUGGAGAUUUGCAAUCUUUAAUGUCCUCUCAACCAUUAACAUUUCUCAGGUCUUGUUGAAAGCCAAGCCUUUUAACACCGUCUUUAAUAGCAACGUAUAAUG